AGGGAAGUGGUGCGCGCUUGACGCUCAGUUGUCAGUCGCCAAAUUGAUGGGAAUAUUAGCAACCUUUGUGCCGUUUACCCCGUGACUGCAGGUCUUUCCUAAAAUAGCUUUUGAGAUCUAGUUCCCUCAGAUUCUCCUAGUUGCUGACUCUAAGAAAGAGGAACUAGGAAACACGAACCAGUGGCCGUGGCAGGGCAGGCCUGGAGCUGUUUGGGCAAUAAAGGUCAUCUCUGUGGAGACAGACGGAAAAGGUAUACAUAUGGGAAGCCAGUGAAAGGAGAUAUAAUGCUUACAUUUUUACCUCUGUCGUUUUGGGGAGAGAAGAAAAAUAUUACAAAAAAAUUUAAGGUCAAGGCCACCCGUUCUGAUACCAAUCGACUGACUCCUGAAGAAAGAAACAAUAAUGUAGUAAUAGCAGUGACACAGAGGAACAGUACCAGUUCCUGGACCAGGUGGAGCAGUGGAAAUCAGGAAACAGAAAAUGCCAGACCAUUAACUAUACUGUCCCCCAAAAUGGGAUCUUCAAGAUUGAAUUUCCAAUUCUGGACGAUUCCAGUGAGCUGCAAUUGAAGGCAGUUCAUGGCAUGUUUACAUCUCCUAGUAAACCAUACAUCCAGCUAAAAACAAGAGAUGAAAAUAUAAAGGUGGAUCACCUUUUGCAUUGGUGGUUAGUGGCAACAAACAACAGAAGGAAUUUAGCUAUAUGGUAAUCUCUUAUAGAAUAUGUUUAUGAUCUAUUUUACAAUUAUCUUAUGAUGUCCACCUUAUGCCUACACUUAACUUACUAUUUUUAACACUAUAUCCUGUGUUUUUUGCACCACAAUUAAAUAUCUUUUUUCUUUCUUCACCUAUACAUGCAUUUUCAAUUUAAAAUAGAUAAUUAAAAAUUAUACUAUGUUUAAAAUUUAAAUUUCUGUUAGAUAGACAGCAUAGAUUCAUUGUGGAAAAUCAUAAAAUGUAAGAAAGGGAAAAUAAUAACUACCACCAUGGACAAUUUUGCUAAUUCAGUUCUCCCAGUGGAGCUUUGUAUUCUUCUCAAUCACAAAUAGGGUUUUUUUCCAACAGAAAGAAAGGAAUGUUUGAAGGACUGGAUAUGCCAAUUACCUUAAUCUGAGCAUUACACAUUAAAUACGUGUAUUGAAAUGUUAUAUUAUAUCCCAUAAGUAUGCACAAGUAUUAUGUGUCAUCAAAAAUUAAGAACAGAAGAGAAAUCAGAAUUGAGAAUUUAAAAAUAAUGAUUUUUAAAAAACAUCUAAUCAGAAUUGCUUUAAUCUUACCAUUUUCUGUUUCCUAGCUUAAACUCUCUAUAUUGUCAAGAAGGCUUUUCUAGCUUUCAAAUGGUUUGAAACUUCUUUAAAUCAAGAAUUUGUGUAUAUGCAUAAAAUUAUGAUAAAUAUAACUUCAAUUGAGAUCCUACUAGCUUUAGCAAAAAAUUAAACUCAUCCACUAUUUUUUUUAGGUAGUGUCCAGGGGACAGUUGGUGGCUGUUGGCAAACAAAAUUCAACAACCUUCUCUUUAACACUAGAAAAUUCUUGGGCUCCAUAGGCCUGUGUAAUAGUGUAUUAUUAUUAUUUUUUUAUUAUUCAUAUGUGCAUACAAUGCAUGGGUCAUUUC